AGUGAACGCUGGCGGUAGGCCUAACACAUGCAAGUCGAACGGCAGCACAGUAAGAGCUUGCUCUUACGGGUGGCGAGUGGCGGACGGGUGAGGAAUACAUCGGAAUCUACUUUUUCGUGGGGGAUAACGUAGGGAAACUUACGCUAAUAGCGCAUACGACCUACGGGUGAAAGCAUGGGAUCUUCGGACCUUGCGCGAUCGAAUGAGCCGAUGUCGGAUUAGCUAGUUGGCGGGGUAAAGGCCCACCAAGGCGACGAUCCGUAGCUGGUCUGAGAGGAUGAUCAGCCACACUGGAACUGAGACACGGUCCAGACUCCUACGGGAGGCAGCAGUGGGGAAUAUUGGACAAUGGGCGCAAGCCUGAUCCAGCAAUGCCGCGUGGGUGAAGAAGGCCUUCGGGUUGUAAAGCCCUUUUGUUGGGAAAGAAAAGCAGUAGGUUAAUACCACGCUGUUCUGACGGUACCCAAAGAAUAAGCACCGGCUAACUUCGUG
rnacentral:rRNA from 1 species